AGGAUGAACAGCCCCAGUGGCGGGGCAGCUCUGGAAACCUGGAUUCAGCCCCCGCAGUAACUAUGGAGCUCUCCGUCUGCAGGGCCUGGAGGCUCCGGGGCGGG
rnacentral:pre_miRNA from 1 species